CACCAGACCCCGUUCCAAGCCCUGGAGAUACAAUGGACUCAAGACACACAGGGCCCCUCACGGAGGCUGACAUUCAGUCAUGGCAGCAAGAGCGAAGAAAAGAAGAAGACUUCCCAUGGGAACUGGACUAGAAGCCAGGAGACCCAGUUACACCAGCUAGGAUAUUCACCAAGCAUAGACUCUAUUUGCUUCAGACUCUUUUGACCUACAAGACCUUUGAAUAAUACACUGGGGCACUCCUUCGCCCACUCUGAGCUGGGAACACCUCUGAAACUUCUCCCUUCAUUUUGUACCACUUCUUGGACACUGAGUACAUGUAGCUUAGAGUACAGAGGCCAACCGCAGGCUUGGGCACCAUGGUACACAGGAAACACAGAGUCUGAAGGUACCCAUCAGAUUAUAUUAUUUAAUAUUGUGCUUCUAAAGAUAAUAUAAUUAAGAGUAUUUUCUGGAGUCUUAUAGAUUUUAUGAUGAACAAGUAUGGAUUCAGCCAAGUUCAAAACUAAAUCAAGUCCAGAAUACAUAAUGAACUUUUAUGACUCAACAACAACAACAACAAAACCAAUAAAAUAGGGGCAAAGGCCUUUUUUUUUUUAAA